AUUGAACGCUGGCGGCAUGCUUUACACAUGCAAGUCGAGCGGCAGCGCGGGGGCAACCCCGGCGGCGAGCGGCGAACGGGUGAGUAAUGCAUCGGAACGUACCCUGGAGUGGGGGAUAACGCCGCGAAAGCGGCGCUAAUACCGCAUAUGCUCUGAGGAGGAAAGUGGGGGACCGCAAGGCCUCACGCUCUGGGAGCGGCCGAUGUCCGAUUAGCUAGUUGGUGGGGUAAAGGCUUACCAAGGCGACGAUCGGUAGCUGGUCUGAGAGGAUGAUCCGCCACACUGGGGCUGAGACACGGCCCAGACUCCUACGGGAGGCAGCAGUGGGGAAUUUUGGACAAUGGGGGCAACCCUGAUCCAGCCAUGCCGCGUGAGUGAAGAAGGCCUUCGGGCUGUAAAGCUCUUUUGGUCGGGAAGAAAAGCUUAGGGCUAAUAUCCCUAAGUCUUGACGUUACUCACAGAAACAGCACCGGCUAACUCUGUGCCAGCAGCCGCGGUAACAC
rnacentral:rRNA from 1 species